CAUGUGGUUUUCUGUGUUUUUGCACAGGAAACCAUUAACUUCCUCUUGUACAGAAACAUUAUGAGAGACUAAAAAAAGAAAAGAAAAACAGGACAUAUCGCUUAACAUCCAAAUAAUAAUAUGAAUAACAGAAAUAAAGAAAUGGAGCUAGUUCACUCACUGGAUUUUGAUGUCUAUACCUCUAAUAUGAAAAACUUAAACGCUUUUAGCCCGUGUCUACAAGCUCUGAAGCCAUCUACUGUAUAUCAAUGGCAGCUCGUGGAGCCUCUCAAUAGUUCCCGGAAGUAGUAGCAAACCGAUGCCACACCGUAGAGAUGCAGCAGAACAAACCGUUUGCGAUGCACUAUUAAAAGAUUGCUCCUGCUGACUUGAGCCAACCAUUUUUGGUUCAACUCAACAACCUGAGCCCAAAAGGAUCCUCCACCACUCUUCACCGAUUCAACUCUAUGUAUCAUCUGCGCAUGCGGGUAUUCAUUGAGUUUUUCACAAGUUCAUCAAGCAACUGUGGUAAGAAUAUUUCAUCAAGCACGGUGAGUAAUGGCUUCUCCUGCUAUUGUUAUUUGCACCUCUUGUCACAUGUACAGUUUAUCUAUCUCUGUCGCCUACGAGGGAUUCACAUGUUAUAAAUGCAGGGAAAUAGUUAGGCUGACAGAGAAGAUUUCAGAAUUGGAGACACGCAUCCAAACUUUAAUUGAGGACAGUAAGAAUGUUAGGGCUCUAGGUACGGCUUUGGAUGCGUCUAGCUCAGGGAUUCCUGUACAUUGUUUGGUUCCGGCAACAGAGCCCUUGCAGCAGGGCAACUGGGUGACAGUGAGACAGCGUAGUCAUGGGUCAGAACACCACUAUUCUGUUCCGAUCAGGGCCGUUUGAAGGAAUUUGGGGGCCCCAAGCAAAAUGGACAUAGAGGGCUGUGCAGGAUAUCAGCUAUAAUUAUAGAGCUUUUGGUACUUUGUGCUUUAUAGCGGAAAAAUCAGCACUGAGAAGUGAUGCAUCUGUUGAUGUUGAGGAUGAAGUUGAUGGUGUAGCUGGGAAAUAAUUGAAACAAAAAUCUGAAAUUACCUGUGAAGUACGUUUUACCAUUUCACUGUUAGCAUAUUGAAAGAGGUCACUAUUACCAGCUCAGGGGUGUGUUAAAUUAACAACUAAGUUUCCUUUUGUAAGGGAAACAG